rnacentral:rRNA from 1 species
AGUGAACGCUGGCGGCGUGCUUAACACAUGCAAGUCGAACGAGAACGGAUUAUAGCUUGCUAUAAUUGUCAGCUAAGUGGCGCACGGGUGAGUAAUGUAUAGGUAAUAUGCCUCUUACUAAGGGAUAACAAUUGGAAACGUUUGCUAAUACCUUAUACUCCUUAUUAACAUAAGUUAAUAAGGGAAAGAUUUAUUGGUAAGAGAUUAGCCUGUAUUGUAUCAGUUAGUUGGUGGGGUAAUGGCUUACCAAGACUAUGACACAUAACUGGUUUGAGAGGAUGGUCAGUCACACUGGAACUGAGACACGGUCCAGACUCCUACGGGAGGCAGCAGUGGGGAAGAUUGCACAAUGGACGAAAGUCUGAUGCAGCAACGCCGCGUGGAGGAUGACACAUUUCGGUGCGUAAACUCCUUUUAUAUGAGAAGAUAAUGACGGUAUUAUAUGAAUAAGCACCGGCUAACUCCGUGCCAGCCGCCGCCGUAACAC